GGCCUCAAUCCCAAAGAGGCGAGGCUGCCUUGGCCCCUGUCGCCUCUGGACACCUCCGUGGGUCGAGGACGUACAAAAUGGUCUCCAAAAAAGCAUGUGACCUUGACAAGCACUGUGGUGUGUUGGACCCCGAGAGAAAGAAAGUUUGUACUCGACUUUUGACUUGCAAUAUUCAUUCCAUUCAUCAGCGCAGGAAGGUGCAAGGUAGGAGUAAAAACUUUGACCAGCUGGUGGCAGAGCUGAAG